UACGAAGGGGGCUAGCGUUGCUCGGAAUCACUGGGCGUAAAGCGCACGUAGGCGGCUUUUUAAGUCAGAGGUGAAAUCCUGGAGCUCAACUCCAGAACUGCCUUUGAUACUGGAGAGCUUGAGUCCGGGAGAGGUGAGUGGAACUGCGAGUGUAGAGGUGAAAUUCGUAGAUAUUCGGAAGAACACCAGUGGCGAAGGCGACUCACUGGCCCGUUACUGACGCUGAUGCGCGAAAGCGUGGGGAGCAAACAGG
rnacentral:rRNA from 1 species